AAUCACAUUCAAAGUAAUCAUAUAAGUAAAUGAAUCACAUAGGAUAGUAGACAUGAAUAAACUAUCAAACCAAACAAUGUGGUCAAGAGUAUUGUAUUAGAGAAAGACCGUAUUGCAUUGCAAUCCUAAACUGAAUAGGUUCUCCACCUCUUCUGAUUAGCUUGGGUAACCAUGACAUACUGCUAGGUGUCACUCAUGGUUUGUGGAAGCCCUAAACGUGUAUAAUCACUAAAGGGAGAACUGAAAGUAAGUUUCAAUUCACAAUCGAUUUGAGAGAGUUCUAAAUGCCCACUGCCUCGCUAAAAGGAACCUAAUGGAUCGUACACCGUGUAAGGUAGAGAUUGAAGAAACAACAGAGAUGAGUAAGGAUAAUUAAAUGGUUUAAUUAUUUAUUUAUGGCUAGAAUUAAUUAAUAUGUUAAUUAAUCAAACGAAUAAGUUCGUUAUAGACCUAGGGUUAGUUUUGGGCCGCAAGGCCCAAUGGGAUUUGAAUAUCAAGCCCAUUAACUCAAGUUGUAUGACAACUUGAAUAAACAAAGGGCUUGAAAGCCCAAUAAACCCUUA
rnacentral:lncRNA from 1 species